rnacentral:rRNA from 1 species
CCUACGGGAGGCAGCAGUGAGGAAUAUUGGGCAAUGGGCGCGAGCCUGACCCAGCAAAGCCGCGUGAAGGAAGAAGGCUUUAGGGUUGGUAACUUCUUUUAUCAGGGACGCAGCAAGUGACGGUACCUGAUGAAUGAGCCACGGCUGACUACGUGCCAGCAGCCGCGGUGAUCCGGAGGUGGCAGGCGUUAUCCGGAUUUACUGGGUGUAAAGGGCGUGUGGGCGGGAGUGCAAGUCAGAUGUGAAAACUAUGGGCUCAACCCAUAGCCUGCAUUCGAAACUGUACGCCUUGAGUGCUGGAGAGGCAAUCGGAAUGCGGGGUGUAGCGGUGAAAUGCGUAGAUAUACGGCGGAACACCAGUGGCGAAGGCGGAUUGCUGGAGCGUAACUGACGCUGAGGCGCGAAAGUGCGGGGAGCAAACAGGAUUAGAUACCCUUGUAGUC